rnacentral:rRNA from 1 species
UAUCUCUGUAGAGUCUGCAUAUCAAUAAGCGGAGGAAAAGAAACUAACAAGGAUUCCCUUAGUAACGGCGAGUGAAGCGGGAAGAGCUCAAAUUUGAAAUCUUCAAGGUUUUACCUUGACGAAUUGUAGUUUAAAGAAGUGUUUUCUGUUGAAGUUUCGGUAAAAGUUCUUUGGAAUAGGACAUCAUAGAGGGUGAGAAUCCCGUAUUUGACCAUUAUUUCCAGCUUUGUGAUACACUUUCAAAGAGUCGGAUUGUUUGGGAAUGCAGUCCAAAAUGGGUGGUAAAUUUCAUCUAAAGCUAAAUAUUGGCGAGGGACCGAUAGCGAACAAGUACCGUGAGGGAAAGAUGAAAAGAACUUUGAAAAGAGAGUUAAACAGUACGUGAAAUUGUCAAAAGGGAAGCGUUUGACACCAGUGUUGUUUUCUCGAAAAUCAAUUAAAAAAAGUUGGAUUUUGUAUUGUUAAGACCUUAUCAGCUUACUGUACUCUUUUCUUGCUUUUUUUAAUGCACUUUUCGUUUAACAAGUCAACAUCAAUUUCUUUUGUUGUAAAAGAGUCAUUGGAAGGUGGCUUUCACUUCGGUGAAAGUGUUUAUAGCCUUUGGCUUCUGCAAUCGGAGAGAUUGAGGUCUGCAGCGUAGAUCCUUCGGGGCUAGAUACGUAGAUGCUAAGUUAUAGUUUUUUAUAGACAACUUGUUGACUAUAAUUAAUCAUGUAGCUUACUCGUUUGCGCUAUUUUACCUACGCUUAGGAUGUUGAUCUGUAGUGCGUGCGC